CCAGCUCUCUUUGCCAUUAUGGCUUAGAUCAAGUGUAGUAUCUGUUCUUUUCAGUUUAAUCUCUGAAAGUAUUCUAAGGAAUACAACAUUGAUUAAUCUCAUUUUUGGAAUCCGUGGGAAGACCUCUGUGCUUGCGCAUGUUUUCCUGCACUGUGUCAUCGGUCUUACACUACCACCGAUCGACGCGAACCAUC
rfam:Tncinocarpus reesii 1704 scaffold_2 genomic scaffold, whole genome shotgun sequence.